rnacentral:rRNA from 1 species
GACGUAGGGCGCGAGCGUUGUCCGGAUUUAUUGGGCGUAAAGAGCUCGUAGGCGGCUUGUUGCGUCGGCUGUGAAAACCCGCAGCUCAACUGUGGGCUUGCAGCCGAUACGGGCAGGCUUGAGUUCGGUAGGGGAGACUGGAAUUCCUGGUGUAGCGGUGAAAUGCGUAGAUAUUGGGAGGAACACCAGUGGCGAAGGCGGCUCACUGGACCGGUACUGACGCUGAUGCGCGAAAGCGUGGGGAGCAAACGGG